GUCUUAGAAAAAGUGAUUAAAAAACAAACAAACUUAAUACCUAACACUACUAAGUAUGAUUUAGAGUUAAGAUAAAUUAAGGUCUAUUAAGAUUUAAGAAAAUAAAAUAAAAUGAUUGCCACCUACGUAAAACUUAACCUGUUGGUCUUCUGUUGGUCUCACUCAUCAGAAUACGAGACCAUUUCAGGUACCUUCACCAACCUUCAGGGAUACUUUGAAACUCUAUUUCAGUUGUCUUUCUUUAGGACAAGAAAACCUGAAUGACAUGGAUAAUUGUCUGUCAGACAAUGCAGGGGUCAAUUCGAUCACCCCUUUUUUUGAGUCAUCUUUCAUGGGAGUAGCAGUCCAGUUUAUCACCCCAUCAAAUUGCCCUUCUGCAAAUUCAUUCAUCAUAAGGAUUUAUGUUUGCUUGGUUCAGUUACCUGAAGAUUUGCAAUAUGACCCUUUUUAGGUAUUCCCCUUCAGAAUGAAGUUUUGUGCUACAGAGGAAUGUCAUAUUCCAUUUACCUCUCCCCACUUGAUAGAUUCAUGGAGAAUGAUUCAACUGAGAAUCUGCCAUCUUUGCUUAUCUUCCACUCUGUUGCAUCCAUAUAUAUGUAGUCCAAAAAGAAGUGGACUAUCUCUCACUCCCAAUCAUAAAACACCUUAACUCUAGGAUUUCAGAACCCACUGUCACUGACAAACACCAAUAAUCUGCCAACAUGGCCUCUUUGUUUCUGUAUUCUAAAUGAAUCUCAAAAAUCUCAUUACAAGCAAGAUCUCUAUGCACCAAAUCAUUCUAGAACCUCACUCCCUGCCACCACAUACUCUAUCUGUGUAAUAUUUCAAAAAAUCUUCCCAGGCUCUCCUAAUACCCAUCUGUUAGACCCUUUCAGAGUGACUUGUGGUGUGGGCUGAAUGGUGACAAUGGAGUGCUGGAAAGGCAAUUUGUCUUGCAAAAAUUGGCAGUCCAGGCUGUCCAGAUCUGCCAAUAGGACAGUUUUAGUGGUUACAUAACUGCUACAACUCCUGAAAAAUGCCAGAGGAAUGACAGAAUUUUAUUGGAGAAUUUAAAUCCUAGGUAGUUGUGAUACACCUGCCAUGUAGGUAAAUGUCAGGAUUGUCAGUGGCAGAUCCAUUCAUGGAAUCAAGUAAACUGCAGAGAUUUAGAGCCUCAUGUCUGAGCAAAGCCCAAUGCCGAAUUUCCUUGUAUAUUUCAAUGGGUUUGAAAGAAGAAAGGUUCGGCGGAGUUAGCCGAUAAAAUUCAUUGGGCCUCUUUUUUUUUAUUAUUAUUAUUAUUCAGAGAGAGAGGUUUUAUUAUUCGGAGAGAGAGGCCAGCUAAAUAAAGUGUUUACAGCUUAGCACCUCACGCAUCACAGAAAACUUGAAGUUAAAAUUAGGUUUGUGACACCCUCCACAACACUGUACUAGACCGACUCCUCACUUACCCUAAACACCAAUAUCUCUUCUCCCUACAUUCUCCCUGAAUUUAUUCAUCAUCACUCUUCUCUAUAGGUUACCCCCUACAAACAUCUACAUCCAUUACCUAACACCUUAUUAAUGACAUUAAAAUUCCUAAUGCCCAAUCUUCCUUCCUAAUAGGACAGUAACAAAAUAUUAAUAGUCCUUUAAGGGAAUUUCUUCAAACUCCUGGCACCAAGCCAUGAGCAUGAAAACAAACCUAACCUGAAGAGCCUCAAAAUAAGCCUCAAUGUCUUAGAUAUCAUUGCAUC
rnacentral:lncRNA from 1 species